UACGUAGGGGGCAAGCGUUGUCCGGAUUUAUUGGGCGUAAAGAGCGUGUAGGCGGCCAGAUAGGUCAGCUGUGAAAACUCGAGGCUCAACCUCGAGAUGUCGGCUGAAACCGUCUGGCUAGAGUCCGGAAGAGGAGAGUGGAAUUCCUGGUGUAGCGGUGAAAUGCGUAGAGAUCUGGAGGAACACCCGUGGCGAAGGCGGCUCCCUGGUCCGUCCUUGACGCUGAGACGCGAAAGCGUGGGGAGCAAACGGG
rnacentral:rRNA from 1 species